GACGAACGCUGGCGGCGUGCUUAACACAUGCAAGUCGAACGGAAAGGCCCUGCUUUUGUGGGGUGCUCGAGUGGCGAACGGGUGAGUAACACGUGAGUAACCUGCCCUUGACUUUGGGAUAACUUCAGGAAACUGGGGCUAAUACCGGUUAGGAGCUCCUGCUGCUUGGUGGGGGUUGGAAAGUUUCGGCGGUUGGGGAUGGACUCGCGGCUUAUCAGCUUGUUGGUGGGGUAGUGGCUUACCAAGGCUUUGACGGGUAGCCGGCCUGAGAGGGUGACCGGCCACAUUGGGACUGAGAUACGGCCCAGACUCCUACGGGAGGCAGCAGUGGGGAAUAUUGCACAAUGGGCGGAAGCCUGAUGCAGCAACGCCGCGUGCGGGAUGACGGCCUUCGGGUUGUAAACCGCUUUCGCCUGUGACGAAGCGUGAGUGACGGUAAUGGGUAAAGAAGCACCGGCUAACUACGUG
rnacentral:rRNA from 1 species